GACGAACGCUGGCGGCGUGCUUAACACAUGCAAGUCGAGCGGAGCGGCGAACGGGUGAGUAACGCGUGAGUAACCUGCCCCCCUCUCUGGGAUAACAGUUGGAAACGGCUGCUAAUACCGGAUACUGAAGGAGGGGAUUGCGUCUGAUUAGCUAGUUGGAGGGGUAACGGCCCACCAAGGCGACGACGGGUAGCCGGCCUGAGAGGGCGACCGGCCACAUUGGGACUGAGAUACGGCCCAAACUCCUACGGGAGGCAGCAGUGGGGAAUAGUGCACAAGGGGGGAAACCCUGAUGCAGCAACGCCGCGUGCGGGAUGACGGCCUUCGGGUUGUAAACCGCUUUCAGCCAUGACGCGGUAGUGGCAGAAGAAGCACCGGCUAACUACGUGCCAGCCGCCGCGGUAAUAC
rnacentral:rRNA from 1 species